CCUACGGGUUGCACCAGUGGGGAAUAUUGCACAAUGGGCGCAAGCCUGAUGCAGCCAUGCCGCGUGUGUGAAGAAGGCCUUCGGGUUGUAAAGCAUUUCAGCGGGGAGGAAGGCGGUGAGGUUAAUAACCUCAUCGAUUGACGUUACCCGCAGAAGAAGCACCGGCUAACUCCGUGCCAGCAGCCGCGGUAAUACGGAGGGUGCAAGCGUUAAUCGGAAUUACUGGGCGUAAAGCGCACGCAGGCGGCCUGUCAAGUUGGACGUCAAAUCCCCGGGCUCGACCUGGGAACUGCAUUCGAAACUGGCAGGCUAGAGUCUUGUAGAGGGGGGUAGAAUUCCAGGUGUAGCGGUGAAAUGCGUAGAGAUCUGGAGGAAUACCGGUGGCGAAGGCGGCCCCCUGGACAAAGACUGACGCUCAGGUGCGAAAGCGUGGGGAGCAAACAGGAUUAGAUACCCUUGUAGUC
rnacentral:rRNA from 1 species